AGAUGUUAUUUUUAUAAUUAUAAUUUCAUUUAAAAAUUAUCAUCUUAGAUUUUGAUUUUUAUUUAUUGAAUUUAGGGGUAUUCUUAUAAUUAUAGUUUUUUUAUUUUUCAAAAUUUUGUAAAAUAAAAUAGUCUUUUGAUUUAUUUAGGGGUAAAAUGGUUAUUUUUAAUGUCAAAGUGGUUGAUUGAUACAAGUUUAAAAACAAAAGGUGGUGCAAAGUACAUGUUAAGAUUUUGUGGUGGUUAAAUAUACAUAUGACAGAAAAAAGGUGGUGCAUAGAUAAUUUCUCUUGAUAUAAUUUUUAGGUAAUUGUUCUGGUUCUAGUUCGACUGCUAUUGUUUUUGGGUGAGGGUGGGUAGAUGACUUAGUCCUCUAAUGGGAAGCUUAUGUGGAAGAAGAGUAGAAGGGUGGUACAAAGAUAAUUCCCUUGAUAUAAUUUUUAGGUAAUUGUUCUGGUUCUAGCUCGGCUGAUAUUGUUUUUGAGUGAGGAUGGGUAGAUGACUCAGUCGUCUAAUGGGAAGCUUCCGUGGAAGAAGAGUAGAAGGGGACCUACCCACCCUCAACCACCCAAAAAAGGAGAAAAAAGUAUAUUUGAUAAUUAAGUUAAACAACUAAAUGUUGUCGGAAAUUACAUUAUAUCUUAAUCUCUGGAAGUAUGUAACCCAAGCCAGAAGAUGAGAAGAAUGGCAUGCCCGGCGACCAUCCUCGUGCUUCUGCAAUGACGAGCAGGUUCCCACUCAUACCAGGCCUAGCCCGUUUUAAAUGUCUGAGUACAUAUUAACUAUUUGAGUAAUGCUCUUUACUCCCAUUUAAAAUCUUUAUAAAAUCUUUUUUUUAAUCAAUGAUUGUUUUAAUGGUAGAA
rnacentral:lncRNA from 1 species